CACGAAGCCGGAAUCGCUAGUAAUCGCGGAUCAGAAUGCCGCGGUGAAUACGUUCCCGGGUCUUGUACACACCGCCCGUCACACCAUGGGAGUCAGUAACGCCCGAAGCCGGUGACCCAACCUAUCAGGAGGGAGCCGUCGAAGGCGGGACGGAUGACUGGGGUGAAGUCGUAACAAGGUAGC
rnacentral:rRNA from 1 species